rnacentral:lncRNA from 1 species
CACCUCAACCUCCCAAAGUGCUGGGAUUACAGGCGUAAGCCACCGCACCCAGCUCUUUUUUUUUUUUUUUUUUUUGAGACCGAGUUUCACUCUUAUUGCCCAGGCUGGAGUGUAAUGGUGGGCUCUCAGCUCACCACAACCUUCGCCUCCCAGGUUCAAGCGAUUCUGCUGUCUGUGGUUACAAAUUCACAUAAAAACUACCUCAGAGGAGUGUCAAAGGUUCAGCCUAAACAACAGACAUCGACCCAGAUGACCAAUACAAAGGUGUUAAAUUAUUGACAGAGUAAAAAAAAAAAAAAUUCCCAAAUACUCACAAGCAUGAAAACUUAAAAAAUGCUAACUAAUAACAGAAAAUCAAUAAGGACUGUAAUUUCCUUAUUACAAGAUCAGAUUAUAAAACUAUAUGCUACCUGGAUAUGGAUGGCAACAUUUUCUGAAUGAUAUUUUUGAUUCACUGAAAACAUUAAAAAAAACCCAAAAUAUUAAUCAUUCAUCAAAUAGUAAGAAAAAAAAUAUAUCUAUAUCAUUGGU